UGGCUGCCGGUGCUUUGUUGCGGUGGAGGAUCACAUCUACUGGUCCUACGAGUUUGCAGUUGCGGACCUUAUUUGAGAAAGGUUUUCGGAUGGACUAUGAUUCUUAGUGCCUUAUUUUCCAGAUGAAUCUCCCAGAAAUGAUUUGCUAGUGUUACAGUUUUGGUGAUUGAAACUAGGGUCUCACUCAUCCUAGGCAAGCCUUUACCGUGGAGCUACAUCCUCAGACCAAUGGCACAAACUUACAUCAAUUAAUCUUUAUACACUGGUUUUCUUUUUAAUUGUUGUGGUGCUAGGGCUGGAACUCAGGGCCUCACACCUUGCUAGGCAAGUGUUGUGCCCCUGUGCUACAUUCUCCAAUCUUUAUAUACCAACAUACUUCACUUGCGUUGUGGUCAUGUUGCUUUUGCUGGGCACUUGAAGAACACAGUAUGUAUAUAACAGAG
rnacentral:lncRNA from 1 species